GCGGGCGUAGUCUAGUGGUAAAACCCAAGCUUCCCAAGCUUGUGAUGUGGGUUCGAUUCCCAUCGCCCGCU
rnacentral:tRNA from 1 species